rnacentral:rRNA from 1 species
AGGACGAACGCUGGCGGCGUGCUUAACACAUGCAAGUCGAGCGAGGAGAUCCUUCGGGAUGAUCCUAGCGGCGGACGGGUGAGUAACACGUGGGCAACCUGCCUCAUAGAGAGGAAUAGCCUUCCGAAAGGGAGAUUAAUACCUCAUAACAUUGCAGUUUCGCAUGGAACAGCAAUUAAAGGAGUAAUCCGCUAUGAGAUGGGCCCGCGGCGCAUUAGCUAGUUGGUGAGGUAACGGCUCACCAAGGCGACGAUGCGUAGCCGACCUGAGAGGGUGAUCGGCCACAUUGGGACUGAGACACGGCCCAGACUCCUACGGGAGGCAGCAGUGGGGAAUAUUGCACAAUGGGGGAAACCCUGAUGCAAGCAACGCCGCGUGAGUGAUGACGGCCUUCGGGUUGUAAAGCUCUGUCUUCAGGGACGAUAAUGACGGUACCUGAGGAGGAAGCCACGGCUAACUACGUGCCAGCCGCAGC